AAAAAUGUAAAUCUUGAAUACUUUUUCAGUUUAUUUAUCAAACUAAUCAUGUUUCCGUUGAACGAUAAAAGGAUGCGCCAACCCUUAUGACACAUAUUUUGAUUAAUUACACAUAGACACGAUUCAUUAUGACGCAUGUAUACAAAUGUAGGAGUAUGCGCCACUACAUGUGGCUACUCCUUUAUUUUCUUUACAUGCAUGCACUACUGCAUGUAACUACUCCUUUA
rnacentral:lncRNA from 1 species